GGAAGACGGUGGCGAUCAAAAAGGGCAGACAUGCUGAAGUUAUGUCCAUCAAAAAGGUACAGGAGCUUCCUCCCUGAAUUUUCAAGAAAGCCUCUGACCUCCCCGGGUUAGUCUUGGGUUCUAUCUGAAGGAACUUGAUCCAGCAGAGCACUCCUAUGUCUUGAUCAGAAAAAUCGAUCCUGCCUGGUUUGGGGCCUGACAGGCGACCAGGGCACACCAAAGACCCGGCUCCUGAUGAUUACUCUGGACUCGAUCUUCAUGCAGGCCAGCUGUGUCCCGAGGAGGUGGUCUGGAGGUGUUGAGGGUGUUGGAGGCACAUUUCGUCUAAAAAGCAUUUCGUCUUUGGGGAGUCCAUGAAGCUCAAUCACCAAAGCUAGUGUGCAGCAGGAGUAUCUGGUGCACAAAUAGGUGUCCCACAGCAAAUCCCACGCUCUAGGUAUUCUUGUGGGGGCUCUCAAAGGAAACAAGACAGAUGGAAGUCCCGGAGUUUGUGGCCAAAGUGAAUGACACCCACCCCAGUUCCUUUCCGUGGCAGUAAAUGAGGCAUUGAGAGAAGAGGAGGAGAUACCCCUGCCCGAGAUGGCAGGCUGCCGUUGGUUGACGUGACAAGUGCCAGUGUUAGUGCCAGUUCCAGUUCCAGGGCCUAUGCCAUGGCUGAAGCAAGCAUCAGCACCAGCACCAAUGCAAGUGCCAGUUGCCAGUGCCAGGGCUAGAGCCAUGGCUGGAGCAAGUAUCAGUACCUGGGACAGUGCCAGUGUGGGUUGCAAUCUCAGGCUAGUGUCAGGGACUCCUCCUGCCAGCAGUGAAGGCUGGGGCUGAGUCUUCACUUUGUUUUGCUGUGAGUAUCAAAACGGCCCCACAGCAGUGGGUGCUGGGGUCCUGACUUUUCAAGAGUCGAGGGUAGAGUGGGGUUAGGGAGAACCUGCCGCCCAUGGUAUCUGUGUUCCAGUUCUAUUUGUCUUUCUCAGUGAUUUAGCUUUCAAUUGCAUACUGCAAAGUUUUGUUUGCCUUAAAUUAACUUUUUUUAUAAUGAUGAUCAAUUUACAGGAAAUAAACUGGUUAAAACUACAUGAUGACAGAAUCAUAUCAGAGUUGAACAAACGCCAUACCUAAGCAUUUUUUUUUCAAAAUCCUUGUUCCAUAGACACUUGACUGAGUACUUAAGUUGAACAUCUAGGUCUAUGAAUGACGUUGGUCAAAAUGUUUUAUUGUUCUCUGUUUCGGUUUUAGCAGGAGAGAUUUACUGUUUCAUAACAGAAAUUGGGAGAGUAUAUCUUUUGUGCCUGAAACUUAUUAUAGCAUUGGAAUAAGCUGUUCUUUGGAAGUUUGAGAGACUUUACCAGUACAAUCAUUCCCCCCCCAAAUAUAAAAAGAUAAAAUAAAAAAGCCGGUCAGUGUCUGUUGCACAAAAUUACAACCGCUCUCUGCUUUGUAUUUGCCCAGUUCUCCAGAAUGUAGGAAAAAUAAAAAUUCAAUGAAUUAGACA
rnacentral:sRNA from 1 species